AUAGACAACAAAUAAUCCCUGUUGAUUGGUUGAAUUUGCUGUUCACAUUUUAUCACAGCCAAUCAAGGGGCAGAAUUUACACCAAUAUUUUGUUGGUAGCGCGACCUGCAGAGUGAUUUGAUAACUCUGUGAUCAUCCCUGAAUGAUACCAAUCAAGCUCAUUUGAUAUUCAUUUUAAUCCAUUAAAGUUUUUCUAUGAAUUU